rnacentral:rRNA from 1 species
GUGACCUCAAAUCAGGUAGGACUACCCGCUGAACUUAAGCAUAUCAAUAAGCGGAGGAAAAGAAACUAACAAGGAUUCCCCUAGUAACUGCGAGUGAAGCGGGAAAAGCUCAAAUUUAAAAUCUGGCGGUCUUUUGGCUGUCCGAGUUGUAAUCUAGAGAAGUGUUAUCCGCGCUGGACCAUGUACAAGUCUCCUGGAAUGGAGCGUCAUAGAGGGUGAGAAUCCCGUCUUUGACAUGGGCUGCCAGGGCUUUUGUGAUACGCUCUCAAAGAGUCGAGUUGUUUGGGAAUGCAGCUCAAAAUGGGUGGUAAAUUCCAUCUAAAGCUAAAUAUUGCGA